rnacentral:misc_RNA from 1 species
CGCAACUUGCGCUCUCUGGUAUUCCGGAGAGCAUGCCUGUUUGAGUGUCAUGAAAUCUCAACCAUUAGGGUUUCUUAAUGGCUUGGAUUUGGAGGUUGCCAUUCUAAAUGGCUCCUCUUAAAAGAGUUAGCGAGUUUAACUAUUGCUAUCUGGCGUAAUAAGUUUCGCUGGAAUGGUAUUGUGAAGCGCGCUUCUAAUCGUCUUCGGACAAUUUUUUGACUCUGGCCUCAAAUCAGGUAGGACUACCCGCUGAACUUAA